rnacentral:tRNA from 1 species
GUGGCUAUAACUCAGUGGUAGAGCACAUGCUUAGCAUGCAAGUAGGUCCUGGGUUCAAUCCCCAGUACCUCCA